rnacentral:rRNA from 1 species
CCUACGGGAGGCAGCAGUGGGGAAUAUUGGUCAAUGGGCGCGAGCCUGAACCAGCCAAGUAGCGUGAAGGAUGACUGCCCUACGGGCUGUAAACUUCUUUUAUAAAGGAAUAAAGUGAGGCAAGUGUGCCUUUUUGUAUUUACUUUCUUAAUUUGGAUCGUCUAACUACGUUCCAUCACCCGCGGUAAUAUGGAGGAUCCGUGCGUUCUCCGGAUUUAUUGUGUUUAAAGGGAGCGUAGAGGGGUUGUUAAGUCAGUUGUGAAAGUUUGCGGCUCAACCGUAAAAUUGCAAUUGAUACUGGCAGCCUUGAGUACAGUUGAGGUAGGCGGAAUUCGUGGUGUAGCGGUGAAAUGCUUAGAGAUCACGAAGAACUCCGAUUGCGAAGGCAGCUUACUAAACUGCCACUGACAUUGAUGCUCGAAAGUGUGGGUAUCAAACAGGAUUAGAUACCCGGGUAGUC